AUCAGCUGUUGCUGGACUCAUCUACUGUGUUGGCUGCAGUGGUCUGUGUGACUGGGCCUGGGGGAGCUAAACGUAGCUAGCUACCUAUUCCUGACCGCCCCCCGAAGUAUAUUCCUCUUACCCCAACCAGGGUACGUGCCUACAGUUAUCGAUUAUAUGCAUGUCGACCGGUUAACCUCCGUUGUGUUGCUGUGCAGCCUCCGGUAACGUUACUGCAGCUAUAUAACACCCGUCGGCACUAUGGUCAGCACUUGCGGAGCUUCUCAACUCCGAAAACGUUUGAACACAUUUUCGAUUCGCUGCCAAUUUUCAUAAAACUGCCGAUCUUCGACAUCUAUACAGUUGAUUUCUCGCCUAAAAACUUCUCAGAAGUGUAUUUAAAGUUCUGUUGUUGGCUUCUAAAGAAUAAAACGGUUUGCAUUAGGAUCAGGGUCUAUCAUGUACGUGAGCCGAGAUGAACGUCAUCACGUUUUGUGCGCAGUGUCUCCUGGGACAAACCAUAUUUGGAAGGUCAACUUCCGUCACGGUCUGCGCAGUAAACACAUGUAAACACAUUUCACCAGGGGUGAAAUGUGCCCUCCCGCCCAGCCCACUAGCGCAGUGCAUUCAGUUGGACCAAUCAGAAUCAAGCUUUUCAAAUCGACGACCCAAUCACACAGCGUGAAAGUCCCCUUCACGAAAGUUAUCGUGUGCACUAUCGUUGAGAGAGGGAAGCUAUUUCUGGCAAGAAAUCAUUUUGUUUCUCAGGUUUCCUUUGUUUUACUUUACCGACUCGGACUUGGCGAAGGUGGACACCACAGACAUAAUAAGAAAAGAACACAGAAGAGAAGAAUAUCCGGUCAGCUCCCUGCAGAAGUUAAAUGUGAAAAGAGCUAAAGAGGCGUGACUGGCAAGUUACAAGCAGGAGAGGACAGAGACUGCCGGCAAAAAUCGUCUUUGUUGCAUUUCUUUUCUUUUAGAGCUUCCUGGGAUCGUUGCCUCACUCAGGUGGCUCAGAGGCCACGAAAAUCUCAAAGGACCAGCUGGACCCUCACAAGCUCAAUGUGCUCAUAGAUGCUGUGUGAUAAAGCAGUUUUUCCAAAUCCCAUAGAGUCACUGCAACAAGUCCUACUCAAAGACCCUCCACUCCAAGGAUAAGGAUGGUGCCAUUUUUCAGUUUCAGUUUAGUUCCACCAUUUGUACUAUAUGCUUGUGACGGAGUACCUUCACUACAGUUGAGUAAGCGCUUGGACUGCCAUACCAACGAGCCUGGCUCUUUGGCGUUGCUGCCAAAGUUGCAUGUUUGGCAUGCUGUAGACCUGUGUUUGAAUCUGGGUAGGGUGACUGCUCUCGCCUUUGGCCGCAUAUGGUGUCAGAAGUAGGAUGGCUUGCCGUGAGGUCAUCUGAGCCGUGCCCAGAGUCCAAACCGCAUGAGGGACCUCCAUGGGUAACAUUAAUGAUGGGAUGUGUAUAGUGUACUUCAGUAAUACUGAUCAUAUGUCAUCAUUUUACUGAUUUUAUU